rnacentral:rRNA from 1 species
GUUAAUCGGAAUCCUGGGCUUAAAGGGUGCGCAGGCUGGCCCGAAAGCGUCUUGUGAAAGCCCCCGGCUCAACCGGGGAACAGCGGGGCGAACUUCGGGUCUUGAGGCAGGUAGGGGCGGAUGGAACUGUCGGUGGAGCGGUGGAAUGCGUAGAUAUCGACAGGAACGCCGAUGGCGAAGGCAGUCCGCUGGGCCUGUCCUGACGCUCAGGCACGAAAGCGUGGGGAGCAAACAGGAUUAGAUACCCUGGUAGUCCACGCCGUAAACGAUGCACACUAGAUCGGAGUGGUUCUCAUGCCUUUCCGGUCGAAGCAAAAGCGCUAAGUGUGCCGCCUGGGGAGUACGGUCGCAAGGCUAAAACUCAAAGGA